rnacentral:sRNA from 1 species
CCCAGGGCUUGCGCCCUGGGCUACUCUAUGGCGCCCCUGACGGGGCU